rnacentral:rRNA from 1 species
UUGAACGCUGGCGGCAGGCCUAACACAUGCAAGUCGAGCGGUAGAGAGAAGCUUGCUUCUCUUGAGAGCGGCGGACGGGUGAGUAAUGCCUAGGAAUCUGCCUGGUAGUGGGGGAUAACGUUCGGAAACGGACGCUAAUACCGCAUACGUCCUACGGGAGAAAGCAGGGGACCUUCGGGCCUUGCGCUAUCAGAUGAGCCUAGGUCGGAUUAGCUAGUUGGUGAGGUAAUGGCUCACCAAGGCGACGAUCCGUAACUGGUCUGAGAGGAUGAUCAGUCACACUGGAACUGAGACACGGUCCAGACUCCUACGGGAGGCAGCAGUGGGGAAUAUUGGACAAUGGGCGAAAGCCUGAUCCAGCCAUGCCGCGUGUGUGAAGAAGGUCUUCGGAUUGUAAAGCACUUUAAGUUGGGAGGAAGGGCAGUUACCUAAUACGUGAUUGUUUUGACGUUACCGACAGAAUAAGCACCGGCUAACUCUGUGCC